GCCUGGAUAGCUCAGUUUGUGAGAGUGUGGUGCUGAUAACGCCAAGGUCGCAGGUUCAAUCCCCACAAGGGACA
rnacentral:tRNA from 1 species